CCUACGGGUGGCAGCAGUAGGGAAUCUUCCACAAUGGGCGAAAGCCUGAUGGAGCAACGCCGCGUGGGUGAAGAAGGUCUUCGGAUCGUAAAACCCUGUUGUUAGAGAAGAAAGUGCGGGAGAGUAACUGUUCACGUGUCGACGGUAUCUAACCAGAAAGCCACGGCUAACUACGUGUCAGCAGCCGCGGUAAUACGUAGGUGGCAAGCGUUAUCCGGAUUUAUUAGGCGUAAAGGGAACGCAGGCGGUCUGUUAAGUCUGAGGUGAAAGCCUUCGGCUUAACCGGAGUAGUGCAUUGGAAACUGGGAGACUUGAGUGCAGCAGAGGAGAGUGGACCUCCAUGUGUAGCGGUUACAUGCGUAGAUAUCUGGCAGAACCCCAGUGGCGCACGCGGCUCUCUGGUCUGUACCUGACGCUGAGGUUCGAAAGCGUGGGUAGCACACAGGAUUAGCUACCCGAGUAGUC
rnacentral:rRNA from 1 species